GGCUUGGUGGCGUAAUGGUAACACGCUCCAUGUAUCUUGCAACGUUCGCAUAUUGUUUGACGGAGAGUCUGGAGUUCGAUUCUUCGUCAAGCCA